GGUCGUUUGUGCAGCUUUCGUUUCUGAAAUAUUAAAAGUUAUUUUUUAGGUCAUCAGAGUUCACCAUCCCCCCAUGUUGCUCCAAACAUCAAAAUUUUUGCUUUACGUCGCCGCCACUAUGUAGCCUGGGCCACAAUGUUACCCAAAGAUUAUAUUAUACAAAUGAUAAUUUCAGAUAACGAUAUUAUUAUUAUUUUUACUUUUUUCUAAAUAUACCAACUAAAUCUGAUUUUACUUUAUUUGGUGCUUUCAGAGUUUAACAUUCACGCGAUGACAUUCACCCAAUUAGGGGACAAUUAAUUUCACCUGCUGCAGGCUGUACUUCCUGUUUUACUUCCGGUUCUCUUCCAGCACAUUCCUGUCAGGUCAUCAUAAAGCUCCCACACAGAUGGAGCUCUCCGGCAGUAUGCAGUAUAAUGUCCCAGGCCAUCUUUGGUCAAGCUUCCCCUGAAAGCAAUGCCUGCUCUCAAAGUAAGUGUUUUUCCUUGGAGAACCAUAAUGGAGGGAAAUUCACUCAAGGCGAAUUCAGUUGGAUUUGGAAGGUCACUGUCAAUCCAUGUUAUUUCUCCAAUGCUGUAGCUUGGUCGGAGGCAGGGAG